UUGACCUCAGAUCAGGUAGGAAUACCCGCUGAACUUAAGCAUAUCAAUAAGCGGAGGAAAAGAAACCAACAGGGAUUGCCCUAGUAACGGCGAGUGAAGCGGCAACAGCUCAAAUUUGAAAUCUGGCGCAAGCCCGAGUUGUAAUUUGUAGAGGAUGUUUCUGGCGAAGUGCCUUCCGAGUUCCCUGGAACGGGACGCCAUAGAGGGUGAGAGCCCCGUACGGUUGGAUGCCUAGCCUCUGUGAAACUCCUUCGACGAGUCGAGUAGUUUGGGAAUGCUGCUCUAAAUGGGAGGUAUACGUCUUCUAAAGCUAAAUACCGGCCAGAGACCGAUAGCGCACAAGUAGAGUGAUCGAAAGAUGAAAAGCACUUUGAAAAGAGGGUUAAAUAGUACGUGAAAUUGUUGAAAGGGAAGCGUUUAUGACCAGACUUGGGCAGGUUGAUCAUCCGUGGUUCUCCGCGGUGCACUCUGCCUGCCCAGGCCAGCAUCAGUUCGCUUCGGGGGAUAAAGGCUCUGGGAAUGUGGCUCCUCCGGGAGUGUUAUAGCCCACUGCGUAAUACCCUGAAGCGGACUG
rnacentral:rRNA from 1 species